CAGCAGCCGCGGUAAUACGUAGGGUGCAAGCGUUAAUCGGAAUUACUGGGCGUAAAGCGUGCGCAGGCGGUUAUAUAAGACAGAUGUGAAAUCCCCGGGCUCAACCUGGGAACUGCAUUUGUGACUGUAUAGCUAGAGUACGGCAGAGGGGGAUGGAAUUCCGCGUGUAGCAGUGAAAUGCGUAGAUAUGCGGAGGAACACCGAUGGCAAAGGCAAUCCCCUGGGCCUGUACUGACGCUCAUGCACGAAAGCGUGGGGAGCAAACAGGAUUAGAUACCCGUGUAGUCCCUGUCUCUUAUAC
rnacentral:rRNA from 1 species